rnacentral:rRNA from 1 species
ACGCUCGACACCUACUGGAGGCAGCAGUGGGGAAUAUUGCACAAUGGGGGAAACCCUGAUGCAGCGACGCCGCGUGAGUGAAGAAGUAUUUCGGUAUGUAAAGCUCUAUCAGCAGGGAAGAAGAUGACGGUACCUGAGUAAGAAGCCCCGGCUAACUACGUACCAGCAGCCGCGGUAAUCUGAGCGGGCUGGCAAGGC